rnacentral:lncRNA from 1 species
UUUUCCCAUUCUAAUCAACUUUCUCAUCAAUUUCCAUCAAGUUGAUCUCAGAUCUAUACCAUUUUCCAAAAACACAGUAAAAUAUAUAUGUUUCUGCAGUUCAAUUUCUUGGCUUAUUAUUAUGAAGUUGAUACGGUUUGAUGCGCUUCUUCUUCUUCUUCAGCUUCUCUUUAGCAAGGCAGCAUCAGAGUUCAAUAUAGAGACUCUUCCGGGUUAUUCGGGUACUCUGCCUGUCAAACUCGAAACAGGGUGGGUUUCUUUCAUUCUUUAACAACUUCCUUUUGACUUUUAAUUCCAGAAACUGAAUAAUUUUUUUUUAUAAAUUUGGAUGAUUAGAUAUAUUGAUGUGGGAGAAACUGAAGAAGUGCAACUAUUCUACUACUUCGUCGAGUCCGAAAGCAAUCCUAAAACGGACCCUAUUCUGCUUUGGCUCACGGGUGGACCUGGUUGCUCUGCUCUCUCCGGCCUCUUUUAUGAAAUCGGUACUCUCUCUAUAUGUGUGUGUAUUAUUAUUUUCUUUCAGCAAAUGGGACUUAUACAUACUCAGGGAAUUGCACCCUUCCUAUGCAUAAACGAGAGAGAUGUGUGUGUGCAGUAUGCAAAUGAUGAGUAGCAACCAGCAAAAUAUGGAAAGUGAUUCGCACCAUUCAAAUUGAACACACGAAAGAUCUGCAAGUGCUCGGUAUCGUAGAUAAGUAAUAUAAUGAUAAGUAGAGUAUCAUCUCACGAAAAUUAUGUAUUUAAUCUAGUAUCAAUUAAUGCUUAAUCUAAUCGAAUUGUUGAGUUUGUAUGGUGAAUUUAUACUAAUUAAUUAAUUAAAUUACUUCAAUGAGCAACUUAUGAAAGCUUUUUGUAAAAAUUAGGUUAAGCACUUGCUACGACUUUAAAUUUUCCUUAUUAAUCCAAUUUAAUGCAAUUCAAUAUCAUGACAAUGUUUAAUCAUUCUUUUUUUUUUUUUUUUAUAUAUCAAUGUUCCUAGAUUAUUUAAUAAUUUCUCUCCCGUAGAAAAUCUAUUCUUUCUUGUGACCCUUAUAAAUCUUUCUAUGAAAGGCAAACAUAAAAGCAAGUGCUCAAACUUUAGAACAUCUAUUGAACUCUGCGACGCACUCGAUCAUACUUCACAAAAUCUACUAUAACGUGCUAUAUAUAUUAUUAUUUCUCUUGAAUAUAACAAAAUUCACACAUCAAUCCAAUUAUUAAUCAGGUAAUUCAAAGGCAUUAAACCCUAUAACAAUCUCCUAAGAAUAACAAAUAUUAGGUGUCAAAAUAUUGAAAUUUUAUUAAAAUUUCAUAACAAAGGUUCAUUUAUAUCUUAGCAACUAAUAAUCUAGCAUAGCAUUACUAAGUUGCAUUAAAUCAUAAUUAAUUUGGAGAACACCAUUCGGAUUCUCGAUAGAUGAAGAAAAGGAGGAAUCACGAAAUCUUUAAUAUCUUCACUGGUUUUUUAAUUAAUGUCCAACUUUAUAUUCUUUUUCAUUGCCAAAAAUCAAUGUUAAAUCUUCAAAUGAUUGAAUUCUCGUAUAUUGCCUCUUGAAUUCUCCCAAAAGAACAAUUAAUUGGCCUCUCUUUGUUGCAAGAUUAUGCGUAUGAUAUGAUAUGAGAGAAGUCCUUCCAAUGUUUGAUGGUGUUGUGUAUUUAUAACGGUCGAAUUUAUGUCAAAAUCCAAGUUUUGAAAUUGACUUCCAAAAUGUGGUUUGACUCAAAAUAGGAAACAGCUCCCAUCUGUCAGAAUUUGGGUCGUGCAGUUCGUGCCCUAUAGUCUUUAGGAAUGUUCAGUUUGGCCCUCAUCUUUGGUCCUUUGUUUAUUAUGAGUCUGUUCUUCUUGUAAUUUCAAUCCUUCAUCUUCUAUAUUCACUCAAUUGAAUCCAUGCAAUCUUCAAUCACUUUUCUUGAUCGAAAUCAACUUUUUAAUAUUUGUAAUUGAGUCCAUGAACUUUGAAAUUCUUCCUUUUUCACCCUUCUUUUUCCAAUUUCUACUUCUUUUGCUCAAAACCAAUCCAAACUUGAGUAUGUUUUGCAACAAUCGAUAUUUAAACAAAUUAAAUAGCAAUUAACUCAAAAAGAUGAUAAAUAUGAUAGCUAGAUAGGUGUAUAAAAAGUGGGUUAUGUUAUAUGUAGAUUAUGGUGUCCAUAAGGGUAUCCAUAAUGUACAAACGGUUUAAUAUCAAUUGAGGGUUGAAAAAUAAUUUUUUUGACCCUCCAAUCAUGGAAUUCCACAUGCAUAUUAUAGAUACUAUAAUGUACAUGUAGAAUUACACUAUCACAAAUGACAUAGACAACAAAUUCAAAAUAUUAAAAAGGGUGGAUUUUUAUUUAUUUAUUUUUACUUGGUUGUGUUGGAAUGAUUGCCCCAAAUUUCUAACUCAAAAUUUUUUACAAUAAUUUACAAAUGAAGAGCAAACUAGUUCCUAUAUCCUGUGUGAGUUCGCUAAUUUAGUGAUUUUUAAUGGUGAUUUAAGUUUCAACUAGUUUUGUUUAGAAUGAAUUUCCAUUCUAAGAGUAUAUUUCCAAGUAGCUGGCCAUAGAAUUCGACAUGGUAAACUUUACGGCUUAAAAAUCCACUAAAAAAAUCAUUGCCCUUUCCAAAUUUUCACUGCAUCUCUCCAGAAAAAAAAAAUCCAAUUCUAAAAAUUGUUAAAUAUAAUCAGCAAGAAUGAAAGAAUAUUAUAUUUUGAUUACCCCAUUAACCUAUAUUUGAAAUAUAACUUUCAUGAUGUUCAUGUCAAUUUUGUGUGCUUUUGUGUAGGUCCAUUAGCCUUCGAUGUUGCAGAUUUUGAUGGAAGCUUACCAUCUAUUCACCAAAAUCCAUAUUCAUGGACCAAGGUCAUAAACAUAUCUCACUCCAUGAAUAAAGACAUGUACGUAUCUCAUCUAUAGCUCUCUAAGUUUAGCACUGCAGUAAUUUAGCCUUAUGAUUUGCAGGUUGCCAACAUUAUAUUUAUUGAUUGGCCUGUUGGCACUGGAUUUUCCUAUGCAAACACAUCGAAAGGUUACUCUUCUUCAGACACCAAAUCAGCAAAAGACAACUAUACGUUUCUUAGAAAGGUAUGUUGAUAUUGUUAAUCAUAAGUCAUAUUUGUAAGUAGCUAUUGAAGACUAGAAUUUUAAGUUAUUAGGCUUCUCCGUUUCACCUAUUAAAAAGUCGCUUAUAUACAACUCAUGCUUAAAAGUAAUGUGUGAGGUUAGAAUGUUCGAUGUAUUUGUAAACCCAUAAGCUAGGCCUUUCGCUAGCGAUGUAGGAUUUAAAAAUAGUCGCUACACCAUCCACGUGUUUUCUUUGCGUUAGUGAUCUAACAAAAUAUUGAAAAUGCAGUGGUUGUUGAAUCACCCUAUGUUUAUGAAAAAUCGUUUAUAUGUUGCGGGGGACUCUUAUGGUGGCAAACUGGUUCCCAUGGUUGCCUUGGAAAUAUCAAAAGGUAUGUAUGUAAAUAAGAAAUAUAAAACUUGGUUUUAUUCGAUUUUUUUCUUAAUUAGCUAUGCCUGAUUAAGUUGUAAGUGUGCUGGUAAUGCAGGCAAUGAAGCAAGCUUGCAGCCACGAAUAUCUCUCCAAGUACUAAUUUACUAUUUAUAUGAUAACUCCAUUUUUAUUUUCAAAAUUUGUAACCUAUAUCACAUUAAUGAGAGAGUGCUUUCGGAAUUGAAAUAGGGAUACAUUAUUGGGAAUGGAUUAACAGAUCCAAACAUUGAUUACAAUGAACGAAUUCCAUAUGCUCACCGAAUGGCUCUUAUACCAGAUGAAUAUUUUGAGGUAGUGAUAUUCUCGAGUCUAUUAUUUUGAUGAUAAAAUUAAUCACACCUAAAACUUAUUGGUGAGUCUACUCUUAAUUUUUUUUUUUAUAGCUAAACGUUUUCCUUAUUCGUGUAACUUGAUACAAUUUUAGUCAGCAAAAAUUAGCUGUGAUGGGAAAUAUUACAAUCCUGAUCCAAAAAAUCUGCAAUGUCUUUAUGCUCUUAGACCGAUCCAAGAGGUAACAUUUGCAUCUUAUUAUAUUUUAUAUUUUUGAAAUUUACUAUAGCAUAAACACUCAUGAAAUGAUCAAAUACUGCAGAGUAUAAAAAAUAUAAAAGAAGGACAUAUUCUGGAACCAAAAUGUAAAAGUAUGGCACCAAAACCAGAUGAAUUGGGAUGGGAUCAAACACUUGCCAAAGAUGAUUCCAUUGACCACCUCCUCCUCCCAUCCAAAAUAGAUGGAAUGUGGUGCCGCGUAAAUUUCGGCCUCUAUUUAUAUAUCUCAUGGCAUGUUCUCCUAGAGUUAACAAGGUUUCUCAAGACAUAAUUUCUUUUGUACAGUCUCAAACUUAUGCGACAUCAUAUAUUUGGGCAAAUGAUCCAACCGUCCAAGAAGCUCUUCAUAUUAAAAAGGUACUUCUGAUACAAAAUUGUUGAAGAUCCAUUGCACUUUAUAAGGGUUAAUCUUUUAUUUUGAUUGCCAGGGAACAAUAACGGAUUGGACGAGAUGCAAUCACAGCUUAUCCUAUGCACAUAAUAUAGGAAGUGUUGUUCAAUAUCAUAAAAUUCUCAGCAGGAAAGGAUAUGAAGCUUUGGUUUAUAGGUAGUCAUAUUCAUUGUUUUUUUUUUUUUUAAACAUAGUGACUUAAUUUGUUCUGAGUUUAUUCUAGUCCAUCAACUAAGAUAAUAGUUGUUUCACAAGUCAUGGUAAAAGUAUUAAUCGAAAAACCUAACUCUACAAAUUUGUAAAUUAGAUUUAAUAUUUUUCAAUUGUUUGUGUUCUUUCCAGUGGUGAUCAUGACAUGGUCAUACCUUAUAUGGGUACUUUAAAAUGGAUUCAUGGUCUCAAUCUAACAAUAGAUGACGAGUGGAGACCUUGGAAUGUUAACGGCCAAGUUGCAGGGUUGGUUUCCAAUUCUUUAUCACUUCCAUUCACACGCAUAUAUAUUGCAUCUUAUUAAUUAAUCUCCAAAUCUCAUUUACAUUUUAUUUUGUAGAUACACAAGGAAAUACAAGAAGAAUGACUUCUAUCUCACAUUCGUAACUGUGAAGGUAAGAAAAUUUCAAUAUGCUCUUUCUCAUAGUGAUUAACAGAAAAGGAAGUAAACAUUUGUUAUAUAUUGCAGGGUGCAGGUCAUACGGCUCCUGAAUAUAACCCUGAACAAUGUCUUGCAAUGCUUGACCGAUGGCUCUCUUUAUAUCCUUUAUAGGUUUGGGUUGAUGGCGAAGUUUUAAGGGUUCAUCUAUUACAUCUUUUUAACAAGGUAUUGUCGUUAUAUAUUCUGUAAUUGUUUAUUCAGUUAAUAAAACCAAUGUAAUAUGAUAAUCAUACAGAAAUCUAUUAUAAAUGAUUGAAUUUAAAAGAAAAGAUAAUUUU